UCAAAACACUGGUUCUUGUAUGAUCACUGAAGUUAAGUAAUGUCGAGCCUGGUCAGUACCUACAUGGGUGACUGCUUGGGAAUACCAGGUGUUGUAAG
rnacentral:rRNA from 1 species